rnacentral:rRNA from 1 species
GACGAACGCUGGCGGCGUGCCUAAUACAUGCAAGUAGGACGCAGUUGCGAACGGGUGAGUCACGCGUAGGUAACUACCUAUUAGAGGGGGAUAACUAUUGUAAACGAUAGCUAAUACCGCAUCCUAGUAGAUGGAGCUGCGUUGUAUUAUCUCGGAGGUCGUGUAAUGGCCUACCUAGGCAACGAUACAUCACCGACCUGAGAGGGGGGUCGGCCACACUGGGACUGAGACCCGGCCCAGACUUCUACGGGAAGGAGCCGUAGGGAAUCUUCGGCAAUGGGGGGAACCCUGACCGAGCAACGCCGCGGUAGUGAAGAAGGUUUUCGGAUCGUAAAGCUCUGUUGUUAAGGAAGCGGUACUUAACCAGAAAGGGACGGCUAACUACGUGCCAGCAGCCGUGGUAAUAC